UCCGUAGGUGAACCUGCGGAGGGAUCAUUACACAAAUAUGAAGGCGGGCUGGAACCUCUCGGGGUUACAGCCUUGCUGAAUUAUUCACCCUUGUCUUUUGCGUACUUCUUGUUUCCUUGGUGGGUUCGCCCACCACUAGGACAAACAUAAACCUUUUGUAAUUGCAAUCAGCGUCAGUAACAAAUUAAUAAUUACAACUUUCAACAACGGAUCUCUUGGUUCUGGCAUCGAUGAAGAACGCAGCGAAAUGCGAUAAGUAGUGUGAAUUGCAGAAUUCAGUGAAUCAUCGAAUCUUUGAACGCACAUUGCGCCCUUUGGUAUUCCAAAGGGCAUGCCUGUUCGAGCGUCAUUUGUACCCUCAAGCUUUGCUUGGUGUUGGGCGUCUUGUCUCUAGCUUUGCUGGAGACUCGCCUUAAAGUAAUUGGCAGCCGGCCUACUGGUUUCGGAGCGCAGCACAAGUCGCACUCUCUAUCAGCAAAGGUCUAGCAUCCAUUAAGCCUUUUUUUCAACUUUUGACCUCGGAUCAGGUAGGGAUACCCGCUGAACUUAAGCAUAUCAAUAAACGGAGGA
rnacentral:rRNA from 1 species